CCUGCUCAAUGAAAUAUAAAUAGCCGCAGAUAUUCUGUGCUAAGGUAGCAUAAUCAUUUGUUUUUUAAUUAAAAACUAGAAUGAAAGGUUUAACAUUUUAAUUAUUUUAUUAUUUAUAUCUUUUAAACUUAUAUUAAAUAUAAAAAUAUAUUUAUAAAAAAAAUAGACGACAAGACCCUAUUGAACUUUACUAAUGUUUAGCUGGGGCAGCUUUUUAAUAAAUAUUUUAAAUUAUUUUAUAAAAAAUUAUCCAAUAUAACUGAUUAUAUAACCAAGUUACCAUAGGGAUAACAGCGUAAUAUUAUUUUAAAGUUCUCAUUAAAAAUAAUGUUUGCGACCUCGAUGUUGAAUUAUUAUUCUUUAUUAAUGCAAUAAUUAUAAAAGUAGGUCUGU
rnacentral:rRNA from 1 species